rnacentral:misc_RNA from 1 species
UCCCGGUUAACCCGGGCAGUCUCAUUAGAGUCCCCAGCCGAAACUGUUGGCAACUAAUGAUAAGGGUUGCGCUCGUUGCGGGACUUAACCCAACACCUCACGGCACGAGCUGACGACAGCCAUGCAGCACCUGUGCAGAUGCUCCGAAGAGAGAUGCCAUUUCUGGCACUGUCAUCUGCAUGUCAAGCCCAGGUAAGGUUCUUCGCGUUGCAUCGAAUUAAACCACAUACUCCACUGCUUGUGCGGGUCCCCGUCAAUUCUUUUGAGUUUCACCCUUGCGAGCGUACUCCCCAGGCGGCACACUUAUCGCGUUUGCUUCGGCACGGCUAGGGUUGAGUCCAGCCACACCAAGUGUGCAUCGUUUACGGCGAGGACUAC